rnacentral:sRNA from 1 species
GCCGGGUGCGGGGUUGCACGCCUGUGAUCCUGGCAGCUUGGGAGGCUGAGGCGGGAGGUUGGUGAGUUCAAAGUCACCCUCAGCAACAGUGAGGCGGUAAGCCACUCAGUGAGACCCUGUCUCUA